UACGAAGGGGGCUAGCGUUGCUCGGAAUCACUGGGCGUAAAGCGCACGUAGGCGGCUUUCUAAGUCAGGGGUGAAAUCCUGGAGCUCAACUCCAGAACUGCCUUUGAUACUGGAGAGCUCGAGUCCGGAAGAGGUGAGUGGAACUCCGAGUGUAGAGGUGAAAUUCGUAGAUAUUCGGAAGAACACCAGUGGCGAAGGCAGCUCACUGGGCCGGUACUGACGCUGAUGUGCGAAAGCGUGGGGAGCAAACAGG
rnacentral:rRNA from 1 species